UGGCGAGUGGCGAACGGGUGAGUAAUACAUCGGAACGUACCUUGUAGUGGGGGAUAGCUCGGCGAAAGCCGGAUUAAUACCGCAUACGCUCUGAGGAGGAAAGCGGGGGACCUUCGGGCCUCGCGCUACAAGAGCGGCCGAUGUCAGAUUAGCUAGUUGGUGAGGUAAAAGCUCACCAAGGCGACGAUCUGUAGCUGGUCUGAGAGGACGACCAGCCACACUGGGACUGAGACACGGCCCAGACUCCUACGGGAGGCAGCAGUGGGGAAUUUUGGACAAUGGGCGAAAGCCUGAUCCAGCAAUGCCGCGUGUGUGAAGAAGGCCUUCGGGUUGUAAAGCACUUUUGUCCGGAAAGAAAUCCUCUGGGUUAAUACCUCGGGGGGAUGACGGUACCGGAAGAAUAAGCACCGGCUAACUACGUGCCAGCAGCCGCGGUAAUACGUAGGGUGCAAGCGUUAAUCGGAAUUACUGGGCGUAAAGCGUGCGCAGGCGGUUUUGUAAGACGGAUGUGAAAUCCCCGGGCUUAACCUGGGAACUGCAUUCGUGACUGCAAGGCUAGAGUAUGGCAGAGGGGGGUAGAAUUCCACGUGUAGCAGUGAAAUGCGUAGAGAUGUGGAGGAAUACCGAUGGCGAAGGCAGCCCCCUGGGCCAAUACUGACGCUCAUGCACGAAAGCGUGUGGAGCAAACAGGAUUAGAUACCCUGGUAGUCCACGCCCUAAACGAUGUCAACUAGUUGUUGGGGAUUCAUUUCCUUAGUAACGUAGCUAACGCGUGAAGUUGA
rnacentral:rRNA from 1 species